AUUACUCUCAGUAGAUGGAGUUACUGUGUGGGUAUAGUUAUUACUCUCGGUACAUGGAGUUACUGUGUGGGUAUAGUUAUUACUCUCGGUACAUGGAGUUACCGUGUGGGUAUAGUUAUUACUCUCAGUAGAUGGAGUUACCGUGUGGGUAUAGUUAUUACUCUCAGUAGAUGGAGUUACUGUGAGGGUAUAGUUAUUACUCUCAGUAGAU